AGAUCUUCCUGUCAGUACCAUGAACUGUGUGAGGAUGCAUCUGUGAUUAUAAUGAGCGAUUAGAAGACAUAAUCAAAAGUAAAGCAUUGAUCAAACCCAGAAAAGGUGUGUAGAAGGAGAGGACAUUUCUUGUGGAUAUACAGACCCAUCCUUGAUUAAAAUGAUUCAUGUGAAGAGGUUUCAAGGCAUUCCUAUGUCAAAGGAGAAAGAGGAGCAGUGGCGCGCUCAUGUUGCAGAACUGACCUCCACCCAGGAGAAGACUCUGCAGGACAGACUAACAAGACUCCGCAGGUUCAGGGAGUUCCAAAGAAAGGUGUUGGAAGAAGAGGGAAUGAUAGCUGGACUCACAGUUGACCAACUCCUCACCAGGAUGUAGAUACCGUCUAUGACCAGACCCAUUCUACAUCGGUGCAAAAAAAAAAAAAAAACAUGUUAGCAACAAUAACAAUGGUAGACAACAAUGGCGAUAGAGCUUCAUUUGCGUGCAUUGCUUGUAAAUUGUAUGUUUAAAAAAGCACUGUAUAAAGCAGAGAGCAUAAUGAGAGACACCACAGGGUUAUAUAACAUUGUGGUGUUGCCUGUGUUUACCAAUAUGAAGGAAUUGCCACUUUAGGUUUAAUGCUCGUUUGUGAAAACAUUACAGCGUUGCUAAAGGAACAAAAUAAUACUAGGAUUAUCGCCUCCUCCAUGUUUGUGCAGACUAGAAUAAUACAUUGUAUCAUGUGUAGUUAAAACUAAUAAAAUGUGACUGUAAUUCUCA
rnacentral:lncRNA from 1 species